GGGCUCCAGGAGAGAAUGGGAGAGGAAUCUUCUGUGUCUCCAAGCAAAGAUGUGAAGAAGACAGAAGCUGUUUUGGUCAUAAGGGAGGUCCCAUUUAGUUUUGCAAUACUGAAGAAUUGCACAGAGUGACUAAAAUUAUUACAAAUUGCAGAAGAGGCCUGGACAUGCCCCGCCCUCUCAACCUCCCCUCCUCCAGGGUGACUGCUUCACCUAUGUCCCGCCCGUGCAGAGCACAAGCUCGGCUUUGGAGUGGCGCUUGGCUGGCAGACUGUAAUCAGGGUUACAUUUUAAAAGAACUAUUU